AGUGAACGCUGGCGGUAGGCCUAACACAUGCAAGUCGAACGGCAGCACAGAGGAGCUUGCUCCUUGGGUGGCGAGUGGCGGACGGGUGAGGAAUACAUCGGAAUCUACUCUGUCGUGGGGGAUAACGUAGGGAAACUUACGCUAAUACCGCAUACGACCUAUGGGUGAAAGCAGGGGACCUUCGGGCCUUGCGCGAUUGAAUGAGCCGAUGUCGGAUUAGCGAGUUGGCGGGGUAAAGGCCCACCAAGGCGACGAUCCGUAGCUGGUCUGAGAGGAUGAUCUGCCACACUGGAACUGGGACACGCUCCAGAGUCCUACGGGAGGAAGCAGUGGGGAAUAGUGGACAAUGGGUGCAAGCCUGAUCCAGCCAUACCGCGCGGGUGAAGAAGGCCUUCGGGUUGUAAAGCCCUUUUGUUGGGAAAGAAAUCCAGCUGGCUAAUACCCGGUUGGGAUGACGGUACCCAAAGAAUAAGCACCGGCUAACUUCGUGCCAGCCGCCGCCGUAA
rnacentral:rRNA from 1 species